AGCAACUCCCUCCAUAGGCUGCUUUCUGACACCUUCCCUCCGCGAAGAGUAAUGGUUCGCGGCUCACGCCACGAAGGACCCACUGCCCACUGCCACAGCCACAGCCCUCUCUUCUCCUAGCUCACCGCAGAGAAAGAAAUUAAUUAAGGCUAUACAUGGAGACUGGAAUAAAAGAAGAAGAGAUUUGCAGAUAUUAUUGAUGGAAAGGAAAGUACGCAGAUACCCAAACAGUAAUGUGGAGCAUAGGGCGGGUGAAAUGAGAAAUGACACGUUGGGGAGGGAGAUGGUCGAUCUCACUUUAGUGUCCUGUCCGCACUUGUAAAGAUUAAAAAGAGUUAAGGAUUGCAUCUGCAUGAAUAAAUAAAAGUGGGAUUGGUGAAGAAAAAGAAAAAGGACGGCAGGCAGGGCAGGCAUUACAGCUAGAGAUGGAUCAAAUUCGUCCCGGAGAAGCCCCAGACAUCAACUCCUUCUUUUUGUGUUUGUGGUGCCCAAGGCCCAACGCCAGGCCACUAUGUUUCUUCUUUUCUUUUGUCAGAUAUUCUUCCAUGCCCUUUGCUCCCCCUAUUUUCUCCUGCUGUUUUUUUUUUUGUUUUGUUUUCACUUUCCUCCCGGGCCGGGCAAGAGUUUGGGAGUUGCAUGUCUUUGCCAAAAGCGUUAUGAUUCCAGCUUAGUGAAAUGGCGACAAGGAAUUAUUCUUUUGACUCUGUCCAUUUUUCUUUUCUGUACACCUCCUGUACUAACCGGAAUCUAUCCAGCACUGGAUUUUCAUCCCUUCUCUUUU